rnacentral:lncRNA from 1 species
AGAAAUAAAUUAAUCGUAAAAUAUUUUAACAAUCAAUGCCAAAAGUGUAAAAAAUAACCAACGAAACAAUAAAUUAAAAAAAAAUUAAUUAGAUAUGACGAUACAACAUUAAAUUAAGACCAAAAUGCUUCUAUUUACAUAAUCUUAUUUGAGUACUUUCUUAAGUGUUUGGAAUUUGUUGCAGUGUUUUAAGAAUCAUUUAAAAGGAGUUGGGGAUUUGUUAAAAGGUGUUGAGGAUUUGUUAAAAGUUGUUGAGAAUUUGUUAGAAGGUGUUGAGAAUAUGUUAAAAGGUGUUGAGAAUUUGUUAAAAGGUGUUAGGAUUUUGUUUAAAGAGUGUUGAGAAUAUGUUAAAAGGUGUUGAGAAUAUGUUAAAAUGUUUUAAGGAUUGUUUCAAAAGUUUUAAGAAUCAUUUUAAAGGUUUUAAGAAUUUUUAUAAAUGCUUUAAGAAUAUUCAUAAAUGUUUUAAGAAUCAUUUUAAAGGUAUUUGGAAUUUGGUCGCAAAGUUCUUAGGAUUCAUUCAGGGUGUUAAUUCAGGGAUCAGGGUGAAUUUGUAAUCUUUUUUUAAUCAACAAUUAGCAAUUAACAACUAUUUAAUAUUUUUUAAUGUUUAAAUCUUUUUAAAAAGAAGAAUAAAAUAAAUAUUUGAAUAAAGUACGUAGUUCGA